rnacentral:rRNA from 1 species
GAGGAAGGUGGGGAUGACGUCAAAUCAGCACGGCCCUUACGUCCAGGGCUACACACGUGCUACAAUGGCCGGUACAGAGGGCAGCCACCACGCGAGUGGGAGCGAAUCUCGAAAGCCGGUCUCAGUUCGGAUCGAAGUCUGCAACUCGACUUCGUGAAGCUGGAAUCGCUAGUAAUCGCGCAUCAGCCAUGGCGCGGUGAAUACGUUCCCGGGCCUUGUACACACCGCCCGUCAAGCCAUGGAAGCUGGGGGCGCCUGAAGUCGGUAACCGCAAGGAACUGCCUAGGGCGAAACUAGUGACUGGGGCUAAGUCGUAACAAGGUAGCCGUAA